GGGCCCGCACAAGCGGUGGAGUAUGUGGUUUAAUUCGAUGCAACGCGAAGAACCUUACCAGGGUUUGACAUCCUGCGAAUCUCUUGGAAACGAGAGAGUGCCUUCGGGAACGCAGUGACAGGUGGUGCAUGGCUGUCGUCAGCUCGUGUCGUGAGAUGUUGGGUUAAGUCCCGCAACGAGCGCAACCCACGUCUUUAGUUGCCAGCAUUUAGUUGGGCACUCUAGGGAGACUGCCGGUGAUAAACCGGAGGAAGGUGUGGAUGACGUCAAGUCAUCAUGCCCCUUACAUCCUGGGCUACACACGUACUACAAUGCUACGGACAAAGGGCAGCAAGUUCGCGAGGACAAGCAAAUCCCAUAAACCAGUGGCUC
rnacentral:rRNA from 1 species